AGAACGAACGCUGGCGGCAUGCCUAAUACAUGCAAGUCGAACGAACACUUCGGUGUUAGUGGCGCACGGGUGCGUAACGCGUGGGAAUCUGCCCUUGGGUUCGGAAUAACAGUUGGAAACGACUGCUAAUACCGGAUGAUGACGAAAGUCCAAAGAUUUAUCGCCCAGGGAUGAGCCCGCGUAGGAUUAGCUAGUUGGUGAGGUAAGGCUCACCAAGGCGACGAUCCUUAGCUGGUCUGAGAGGAUGAUCAGCCACACGUGGGACUGAGACACGGCCCAGACCUCGACGGGAGCAGCAGUAGGAUAUGGACAGUGGCGCAAGCCUGACUCCAGCAAUCGCCGCGUGAGUGAGUGAACGGUCGUUAGGGUUAGUAAACGUCUUACCGUUUUACCGAGUAUACGGAAUAAGUAGAC
rnacentral:rRNA from 1 species